rnacentral:lncRNA from 1 species
CCCAGGAGCUGUGUGUGUCUGUGUGUCUGUCUACCUGGCAAGGAGAUAUGGCCCCCAUCAGACUGGAGCUCCACAGAGCAGGUCAAGCGAUUCUCCUGCCUCGGCCUCCCAAGGAACUGGAACCACAGGCGCGCGCCACUGCGCCCAAGGAUUUUCACUUUUAACUGUACAGUGAAGCACAGACUUCUGAGCCAGACUGCUUGGUCUGAACUCUGGUGUCACCACUUAGUAAGUUCUGGUUUGAAUGUACUCACUGAGUGGUCUUCAUAAAUUACCUCUCUGC